UUGAUGAACCACACAUACCAUAGGCCUC
rnacentral:piRNA from 1 species